UACGGAGGGUGCAAGCGUUAUCCGGAUUUACUGGGUUUAAAGGGUGCGUAGGUGGGUAGGUAAGUCAGUGGUGAAAUCUUCGAGCUUAACUCGGAAACUGCCAUUGAUACUAUUUAUCUUGAAUACUCUGGAGGUAAGCGGAAUAUGUCAUGUAGCGGUGAAAUGCUUAGAUAUGACAUAGAACACCAAUUGCGAAGGCAGCUUACUACAGGGAUAUUGACACUGAGGCACGAAAGCGUGGGGAUCAAACAGG
rnacentral:rRNA from 1 species